AUUGAACGCUGGCGGCAUGCUUUACACAUGCAAGUCGAACGGUAACAGCACUUCGGUGGCUGACGAGUGGCGAACGGGUGAGUAAUACAUCGGAACGUGCCUAGUAGUGGGGGAUAACUACUCGAAAGAGUAGCUAAUACCGCAUGAGAUCUAAGGAUGAAAGCAGGGGACCUUCGGGCCUUGCGCUACUAGAGCGGCUGAUGGCAGAUUAGGUAGUUGGUGGGAUAAAAGCUUACCAAGCCGACGAUCUGUAGCUGGUCUGAGAGGACGACCAGCCACACUGGGACUGAGACACGGCCCAGACUCCUACGGGAGGCAGCAGUGGGGAAUUUUGGACAAUGGGCGCAAGCCUGAUCCAGCAAUGCCGCGUGCAGGAUGAAGGCCUUCGGGUUGUAAACUGCUUUUGUACGGAACGAAAAGCCCUCUUCUAAUACAGGAGGGUCAUGACGGUACCGUAAGAAUAAGCACCGGCUAACUACGG
rnacentral:rRNA from 1 species